rnacentral:rRNA from 1 species
UUUAAAAUUAAAUUGUUAUAAUUUUAUAAAUAGGGAUAUGGUCUUUUUAAUGCAAUUGAAUAAUUUUGGUAAAACAAUAGAUUAUUGUAUUGUGAGAGAACUUUGAAAAAAUGAAAAAUAAUUAAUUGUAAAGAAAUGAAAUUGUACCUUUUGUAUUAGGGAUUAAUUAAAUAAAUUAUGAAUUUAUAAUUCCCGAAAAAUUUUGAGCUACUGCAAUUAUAGAAUAUUGUUUCAGAAAUAUAAAAAAUUGUUGUAGAAAUGAAAUUUUAAACGAAAAGUUUGAUAUCUGGUUUUUAAGAAAAAUUACAUAUUUUAUAUAAUUUUUAUUAUUUAAUAAAAGUUAUUGAUUUUUUCUUUGGGGAUAAGCUUUAAGAAAUUUUUAUAAAGUUUUUUCUUUUUUGUAAGGGGUUUAGAAAUUACUAAAUAUUUGUAAUAAAGUAACAGAUAUAAGGAUAUUUUUUAUUUAAUUAAUUUUUUAUUUAAUUUAAAAUAAAAGAUUUUAUAUUGAUAUGAGUAUAAGUUUUAACGUUUUUUGAAAAGUUAAGUUUUAUUUUGGCUAUUUUAAUAAAUUAUUAGGAACUAGGCAAAAAGAAUUUUUGACUGUUUAACAAAAACAUUGUAUUUUGAAUUAAUAAAUUAUUAGACCUGCUCAAUGAUUUUUAAAUUGCUGUGGUAUUAUGACUAUACGAAGGUAUUGAAAUAAGGUUUUUAUUGAGUGCUAAGAGAAUGGUUAAACAAGGAUUAGCUUUCUUUUAAUUUAAAAUGGAAUUUAAUUUAAAAGUGAAAAAGCUUUUAUUAAUGUUUGGGACAAGAAGACCCUAUGAAUUUUUUUUACAAGUUUAUUUAAAAUUUUAAAAAGUAAAUAAAAUAUUGUUGUAAGUUAAUUGGGGUGAUUUUUAAAAUUAAAUAACUUUAAAAAUUGGAGGAAUUAGAACCACAACUUGUGGUUAAUUGAGUAAAAUACUCUAGGGAUAACAGCGUUAUUAUUUUGGAUAGUUCAUAUAGAUAAAAUAGUUUGCGACCUCGAUGUUGGAUUAAGAUACUUGUAUAAUGCAGCAGUUAUAUGAGGGAGUUUGCUCAACUUUUAAAUUCUUACAUGAUCUGAGUUCAGACCGGUGUGAACCAGGUCGGUUUCUAUCUAAAUUAGUUUUAAUUACUUUUAUAGUACGAAAGGAAUUAAAGGUGUAAAAUUUUUAAAAUAGGUUUGUUAAAAUGAAUUUAAUU